rnacentral:lncRNA from 1 species
CCGACUGCAGCCCUCGCUCGCACGGUCACGACCACCAUUAUAGCCAACUUACCAUGGCUCUAUCGUAGUUGGCCUCGCCGCUUGGACGGAUGCCAUAUGCAUGCGGUUCAACGCCUGGCACCGUAGCUGCCACAGCUACCUUCGCAUGUCUCUGCCUCUGCCGGAAUGCUCACUCAGAAGAAUGUUGUGUGCAUGUGUUUCGAUAUCUGGCGGUGCCAUAGCCGCCUUCGCAUGACUCUAUCCCCACAACCGGACC